AGGACGAACGCUGGCGGCGUGCUUAACACAUGCAAGUCGAACGGAAAGGCCCGCUUGCGGGUACUCGAGUGGCGAACGGGUGAGUAACACGUGGGCAACCUGCCCUCAGCUUUGGGAUAACUCCCGGAAACGGGUGCUAAUACCGAAUAUUGACAUUGUCUCGCAUGGGGUGGUGUUGAAAGUUUUUUCGGCUGGGGAUGGGCCCGCGGCCUAUCAGCUUGUUGGUGGGGUGAUGGCCUACCAAGGCGACGACGGGUA
rnacentral:rRNA from 1 species